CCCCCACCUGACCCCAUGCCGAACUCAGAAGUGAAACGCCGUAGCGCCGAUGGUAGUGUGGGGUCUCCCCAUGCGAGAGUAGGGAACUGCCAGGC
rnacentral:rRNA from 1 species